UACCUGGUUGAUCCUGCCAGUAGUCAUAUGCUUGUCUCAAAGAUUAAGCCAUGCAUUGUGCAAGUAUGAACUAAUUGAACUGUGAA
rnacentral:rRNA from 1 species